rnacentral:rRNA from 1 species
AUUGAACGCUGGCGGCAUGCCUUAAACAUGCAAGUCGAACGGUAGAGGGAGCAAUCCCUUGAGGGUGGCGAACGGGUGAGUAAUACAUCGGAACGUGCCCAGUCGUGGGGGAUAACGUAGCGAAAGAUACGCUAAUACCGCAUACGAUCCAAGGAUGAAAGCGGGGGACCGUAAGGCCUCGCGCGAUUGGAGCGGCCGAUGGCAGAUUAGGUAGUUGGUGAGGUAAAGGCUCACCAAGCCGACGAUCUGUAGCUGGUCUGAGAGGAUGAUCAGCCAAACUGGAACUGAGACACGGUCCAGACUCCUACGGGAGGCAGCAGUGGGGAAUUUUGGACAAUGGACGCAAGUCUGAUCCAGCCAUUCCGCGUGCAGGAUGAAGGCCUUCGGGUUGUAAACUGCUUUUGUACGGAACGAAAAGGUCUUUAUUAAUACUAGAGGCUCAUGACGGUACCGUAAGAAUAAGCACCGGCUAACUACGUGCCAGCCGCCGCGGUAA